ACGACCAUAGGGUGUGGAAAACAGGGCUUCCCGUCCGCUCAGCCGCACUUAAACCACACGCCGGCCAGUUAGUAGUGGGUGGGUGACCACCAGCGAAUCCCAGCUGUUGUAUGUU
rnacentral:rRNA from 1 species